UGAGCACCUCGUUGACGAUGGAGGGAAGGACUCUCUCGUCGUAGUCCUUACCCAGCUGCUGGUACAUGACUGGGAGGUUGGAUGCCAUGGGUCUGGACAGUACUCGCACCGCUAUGUUCACCAUCUGAAGGUGGCUUCUUUAACGCCAUAUGCCAAGGCCCCGGCUCCAAUCAGAAGCUUCAGUCCUAAUCCUGCACCCUUGCCACCAGACGAAGACAUCCGGCCUGCCAGGUCCCUCAGGUGCUGAAGAAAUCGCUACAGAGGGCGAGACAGAGGGACAGGGAGGAGAGAGGGAGUCAGAGAGGAAUCACCUGUAUUAUCCCUGCAGAGAGGUGUGUCUUUGAACGGCACCGGGAACAAAGAACUAGCCCACAAAAACAGCAACACAACUUAUGUUUUUUAACUUGCAGACACGACUGCUCUUAGUAACAAACUUAGAGCUGCAACUGUGGAUGACAGAUUGGAAAGAAUCAGCCCUUAUCUAGCCCAGUGCAGACUACAGCUGCCGUCUACCUCCACAACAUGUUGAGCUGGAUACUUUCAUUACUUGCUUACAAUGUACUGCUGAGCAUAUCCCUUAUGAAGUAGGGUGCUUUACUCAUUUCUGCCUUAACAACAUUAUAAACACAUAGUUGAUGUCCAUAUGAACAUGACCAAUGACUGAGGAGAGUGAGAGGUCUCUAUCAUCUGAGGGUAGCAGUUGGCACUUAUUACACUCCUGUCUGGCUAGGAAUGGGGUCUCCUCUCUCUGUGGUCCUUCAAGAUUUGAGUAUUAAGUCAGGGGAUGUCCGGCUGUCUACUGUAAAUAUGUGGGCAUGUAAAGCCCUUAGAGACUGUAAACAGUGACACUGGACUCUAAAUAAACCCGAAUCUGCACUUGGUCUCU